rnacentral:rRNA from 1 species
GCGCGAAAACUUUACAAUGCUGGCAACAGCGAUAAGGGAACCUCGAGUGCCAGGUUACAAAUCUGGCUGUCGAGAUGCCUAAAAAGCAUUUCAUAGCAAGGGCCGGGCAAGACCGGUGCCAGCCGCCGCGGUAACACCGGCGGCUCGAGUGGUAACCGUUCUUAUUGGGUCUAAAGGGUCUGUAGCCGGCCGGAUAAGUCUCUUGAGAAAUCUGGCAGCUUAACUGUCAGGCUUUCAGGAGAUACUGUCUGGCUCGAGGCCGGGAGAGGUGAGAGGUACUUCAGGGGGAGGGGUGAAAUCUUGUAAUCCUUGAAGGACCACCAGUGGCGAAGGCGUCUCAACAGAACGGACCUGACGGCAAGGGACGAAAGCUAGGGGCACGAACC